UGCUUACACAUGCAAGUCGAACGAAGCAUGAAACUUCGGUUUCAUGAUUUAGUGGCAAACGGGUGAGUAACGCGUGGGAAUUUACCCUAUGGUGGGGGAUAACUGAGGGAAACUUCAGCUAAUACCGCAUAAGCUCUUCGGAGGAAAGAUUUAUCGCCAUUGGAAAAGCCCGCGUUAGAUUAGGUAGUUGGUGGGGUAAUGGCCUACCAAGCCGACGAUCUAUAGCUGGUCUGAGAGGAUGAUCAGCCACACUGGGACUGAGACACGGCCCAGACUCCUACGGGAGGCAGCAGUGGGGAAUAUUGGACAAUGGGGGAAACCCUGAUCCAGCAAUGCCGCGUGAAUGAUGAAGGCCUUAGGGUUGUAAAGUUCUUUUACCUGUGAAGAUGAUGACGGUAACAGGAGAAAAAGCACCGGCUAACUUCGUGCCAGCAGCCGCGGUAAGACGAAGGGUGCUAGCGUUGUUCGGAAUGACUGGGCGUAAAGGGCGCGUAGGCGGUCUUUUAAGUUAGGCGUGAAAGCCCCGGGCUUAACCCGGGACGUGCGCUUAAGACUGAAAGGCUUGAGUAUGGAAGAGGUAAGUGGAAUUCCUAGUGUAGAGGUGAAAUUCGUAGAUAUUAGGAAGAACACCGGUGGCGAAGGCGGCUUACUGGUCCAUUACUGACGCUGAGGCGCGAAAGUGUGGGGAGCAAACAGGAUUAGAUACCCUGGUAGUCCACACUGUAAACGAUGAGUGCUAGACGUCGGGUAGUAAUUAUUCGGUGUCGCAGCUAACGCAUUAAGCACUCCGCCUGGGGAGUACGGUCGCAAGAUUAAAACUCAAAGGAAUUGACGGGGG
rnacentral:rRNA from 1 species